UGCCGCCAUAACUCAGUUGGUAGAGUGUCUGGCUGUUAACCAGAAUGUCACAGGUUCGAGUCCUGUUGGCGGCGU
rnacentral:tRNA from 1 species